CUCUGUGCCAAAGCGGCCUGGAGACACAGGGAGAAAUAGACUCAGUUCUUGCCUCGGAGUAUCAGGCCCAGGGUUCUCAGUGUGCUGGCCCAACAGGGACUCCCUACCUCACCUGCUUUUCAUUCUCAUGGCCACAUCAAAGGCUCUGAGAAGUCCUGCAAUCAAAGCAAAAGCUGGAGUCUCAUCUGACCAGAUGUCUCCCAAGAAAGAGGCUUCCAGGUGGAGCUAGUGGUAAAGAACCCACCUGCCAAUGCCAGAGAUGACGUAAGAGAUGAGGGUUCAGACCCUGGGUGGGGAAGAUACCCUGGAGGAGGGCAUGGCAACCCACUCCAGUAUUCUCACCUGGAGAAUCCUGUGGACAGAGGAGCCUGGCGGGCUACAGCCCAUAGGGUCUCAAAGACUCGGACGUGACUGAAGCAACUUAGCACACAUGCUCCCAGGAAAAUCUGAUUCCAGCAGUGACUUGAGAAUCACCCGUUCACACAACCAGGAACAAGAUGCCCCAGGAAUGCGGUUUGGACGAUGCUGUCCCAGAACAGUCUGUGCCCCCCCGGGCGUGGAGGUGCCGGGCCUGCAGGCAGGUGCUGCGACCCAGGAGUCACGAGGUGGGGUUGCCUCUCGUGAUGUGCGGUAUUUCAGAGUCUCAAUGCUCCUGCUUCUGCAAUGGGGACAACAACUGCCGUGUGGCAGGCACGUGACCGGGACGCAUGCCAGGAACAACGGCAGCUGUGGAAGGGGAGCCCCUGCUUGACUUGGGGAGUCCCAGACACCUCCUGGGCUGCUCAGCUCUGCCCUCUGACACCCCGUCUAACUGGAAAUAUUCCACCUCCUGGGAUUUCUUCAUCCCGUGGUUUUCUGCAUCCAAUGGCCCUGCUGACAUGCAUCGUGGCCCCUCAAGGCCAGAGGGAUUCAAACCAAGGACUGCCCCCUCCCCUGACCCGGACUCUUGGAACGAAGCCCAGACUCCUGGCCAGGGGUCAAGACCACGCAUUCCUCCAGGCCUGGCCACAACACCCAGCCAUUCCCGCUGCACCCAAGCACAACCCAGCCUGCCCUCAUUCACCCCCUGACCUUGACUCCACCACCUCCUCCGUCUGGAACAUUCUACCAGCUCCCCGCCCCCAAAUCUGGGUAACUCCCUCUCACCCUGGGUGCCGGCUCCACCUCCUCGGGAGCUGCCCCGCCCCUUUGCCCAGCGUCUGUCUACACCGGCGGCCACACUUACAGCCCCGUGGCCCCAUCUGUGUUCCCUCCAUCUGCCGUCUCUCCUGCUAGACUGAGACCCCCUACAGUGGGGACUGGGGUUCCUGUGUGCCAUGGACGCCCAGGAAGGCACAAUGCUAGGAGCUGGGCUGCAGCCUUUGGGCUCAUCCGACUCCUUGGCAGGACCAAGGGGCCCUCGAGUCCUGGGCUGACCCCCCAGGGUCCAGUGUCGGGGGAGAUCUGCGGAUGCAGAAACCGCGGGGAGGGGUAGUUCAGGGCCCCUCCCAGGGAGACACCGUUCCUGAGCAGGGAAACAGGCCCCGCGUAUA
ensembl:lncRNA